AUGAAAUGCUCAGCUGAGAGGCACAAUAUUUAUGGAGAAGUUUCUGAAAGAUUUGGAAAUGUGGUUAUGGUAAAAUAUUAUGCUUACUUUAUAGUAAGCAUCUCCUUGCUCUCAGAAGAACUAGAGAGUUAAUUCUGCUGGUGUCUUUCUAGUAGGUCGGGUCAACAGAGCAAGAGAUGGAGAUAGAAGAGAGG